rnacentral:rRNA from 1 species
AACGAACGCUGGCGGCAUGCCUUACACAUGCAAGUCGAACGGUAACGCGGGGCAACCUGGCGACGAGUGGCGAACGGGUGAGUAAUGCAUCGGAACGUGCCCAGUAGUGGGGGAUAGCCCGGCGAAAGCCGGAUUAAUACCGCAUACGACCUAUGGGUGAAAGCGGGGGAUCGUAAGACCUCGCGCUAUUGGAGCGGCCGAUGUCAGAUUAGGUUGUUGGUGGGGUAAAAGCCUACCAAGCCUGCGAUCUGUAGCUGGUCUGAGAGGACGACCAGCCACACUGGGACUGAGACACGGCCCAGACUCCUACGGGGGGCAGCAGUGGGGAAUUUUGGACAAUGGGCGCAAGCCUGAUCCAGCCAUGCCGCGUGCGGGAAGAAGGCCUUCGGGUUGUAAACCGCUUUUGUCAGGGAAGAAAUCCUCUGGGUUAAUACCUCGGGGGGAUGACGGUACCUGAAGAAUAAGCACCGGCUAACUACGUGCCAGCCGCCGCAGUAACAC